AACAAGAUUCGGGGUAUUCCAAGGGUGUUAAUAAACCUUCGCGAAGGGAGGACCGGCGCUUUUCAAGCUUUUCGUCGUACAACUUGACUUGUUUUUUGUACUCUCGGUAAUUGUUUGACGCUCCCUCGUUUUAUCCCGACCGUGUUGUGCGGUUUUCUUUUUCCUUAUUCACGGCAACCUUGCGCGAAACUUUGCGAAGCUGUUCUCAGCAGAAGUCAAAAUCUCUGGGGGUCGUCGAGCUCUGACACUUGUAAAAAGGCACUUAGAGCAAUUUACUUCCGGCGAAAGAUUCUCACCCGUUUUACAUUUAUUCGACAGUCCCCUCGAGAUUUACCGGGAUUAGAUAAAACUUGAAAGAAACAUUUCCUCCGGUUAAAUUGAGCGACGACACUGAACACCGCGUGGCAAAGAUCAGCGCUCCGCAUAUAGGCCGGCAUCGAGCCGACGGUAAAGCUCGCAACGGCGUGCGUCGCCUUGACGAAAAUAUCGCCGAAAGCGAGACGGAAGAAAAGAGAGAGAAAGAGAAACAGAGAGUGGACGACGUGCUCGGAAAGCUCGUCUAUGUCUGUACAAUGUUUGCAUUAGACAGUGUGCUUUCAAUGUUGAACCGGUGCGCGUUUCGUCAAGUUUAAAAGCCGCAAGCUCCCGAUUUCGAUUACCAGUCACGCUUAUACGCGUUUAAAAAAUGUAACUUGACCGGGUUUUUUUUCCUCACGAUCUUUUAAUCCGCUUCAACCAGUCAGCGCGCUGCAUGAGAAUUUGCAAGAUUUCACAAAUAGAACGGGUAUUGGCAAUGAAAGUAUUCAUAGCAUGGAAACGGUACGGAGGACGUAUCUUUGCGUCUUCUCCCGAUGUCAAGCGGCGACGAGAUUUAGCCACGUUCUAUUCUACGCUUGACGUGCGGUUGCGUUAAGAGUGUGCGAGGGUCUGGAAAUAACUCUAGGGAUUAAAAGAUGGCGACGUGGAGAACCGGCUGGAGACAAAUGAGAGAGUAACAAAUGAAGAUACAGAAACAGCAAUAACGUUUUAAAACGAAAAGCUCGGUUUUUCCGAGGUGACUAAAUGUCUCGACAGUGAAAAAUUUUUCAUCGUUGUGAACUAAUCGCGACAAUGAAUUGGCGAUCGGCAAGAGAGAACGUUUGGAGGUCACCGCUGAACUGGUGAGAGAGAGCGAAAAGUAGAUGGUCGGAGGCGGAGAGAAUGGUAGAAACAAGUGCGUGUAGAGUGAUAAACCGUUAACGUCAUCGAUUCUAGUCGAGUGAUCCGAUCGUCUGUCGGUUCUGCUGCAGCUCCUGAUUUAUCAACAAGGCGGACCUGCUUCCGUGACGAGUUUCCUUUCCUUACAUCGGCACCCCGACAUCGUGUACCAGAAAGAACACCACCACUCGAGUAUGCCAAACACUAUCACCUGGGGAGGUUUGGCGAACGUCGAGUGGUUGCGACGCAUAAAUACGGACGAGGAACGUUAUUAGGAAUCCAUAAUCAACAGGUCGGGCGUCCGACUCCAAGUCUGUUCAACAAGUCGGCCGUACCUGCUCAAACUUCGAUACCCCCGACGACGUUCGUUUUGGAAAAGCAAAUAAGGGCGAAAAAGCGAAUGAAACACACACAGCGACACCGACGACUAGCUGGGUUAUAAGUGCGGUGCACCCUCUAUCCGGCUCGAAACGACUUUGGAAGGGAAUUUCGGCAGAGGUGGUGCUACACCGGUUCGAGGAAGUAUACCCAACGGAUCUUGCACAACGUCUGGUGGGAAAUCUAAGGCUUAAAGGAAACUACACGUAUGUGCGGCGGACAGUGCGGCCUUGUAUGCGGAGUUCAGGGAACAAAGCUGAAAGGGUUUUGGAACCGGGACCGCAAGAAUUGUGGAAAAUCAUGACGUUUCAGAAAGCUGCGGCAAGAACGCCGGGAGAAGUGUAUACGAGUGGGAUGAGGCAAAAAAAAAAAAAAAAAAAUGAACGGAGCUUCAACGAGGGAAGUUUAGGCGACUUUUUUUACAA